rnacentral:rRNA from 1 species
UGCAGUCGAGGGGUAUAUUUCUUCGGAGAUAGAGACCGGCGCACGGGUGCGUAACGCGUAUGCAAUCUACCUUUUACAGAGGGAUAGCCCAGAGAAAUUUGGAUUAAUACCUCAUAGUAUAGCUCUACCGCAUGGUAGUACUAUUAAAGUCACAACGGUAAAAGAUGAGCAUGCGUCCCAUUAGCUAGUUGGUAAGGUAACGGCUUACCAAGGCUACGAUGGGUAGGGGUCCUGAGAGGGAGAUCCCCCACACUGGUACUGAGACACGGACCAGACUCCUACGGGAGGCAGCAGUGAGGAAUAUUGGACAAUGGGCGCAAGCCUGAUCCAGCCAUGCCGCGUGCAGGAUGACGGUCCUAUGGAUUGUAAACUGCUUUUAUACGAGAAGAAACACUGCUUCGUGAAGCAGCUUGACGGUAUCGUAAGAAUAAGGAUCGGCUAACUCCGUGCCAGCAGCCGCGGUAAUACGGAGGAUCCAAGCGUUAUCCGGAAUCAUUGGGUUUAAAGGGUCCGUAGGCGGUUUAAUAAGUCAGUGGUGAAAGCCCAUCGCUCAACGGUGGAACGGCCAUUGAUACUGUUAAACUUGAAUUAUUAGGAAGUAACUAGAAUAUGUAGUGUAGCGGUGAAAUGCUUAGAGAUUACAUGGAAUACCAAUUGCGAAGGCAGGUUACUACUAAUGGAUUGACGCUGAUGGACGAAAGCGUGGGUAGCGAACAGGAUUAGAUACCCUGGUAGUCCACGCCGUAAACGAUGGAUACUAGCUGUUGGAAGCA